AUGCUCCGGCUCCGGCGCUGCGUCCUCACUCAGCUCCUCUCGUUUCCCUCCGCCUCUCCCACCUCCCAGAUCCACCGCCUCAUCUCCGCCGCAGCGCCCGCCCCUAGCUUCGCCGUGCAGGACUACCUCGUCGCCAGCUGCGGCCUCUCCCGAGCGCAGGCACUCAAGGCCUCCACCAAGCUCUCCCACCUCAAAUCCCCCACCAAGCCCGACGCCGUGCUCUCCUUCCUCGCCGGCCACGGCUUCUCCAGCUCCGACGUCGCCGCCGUCGUCGCGGGAGACCCCAAGGUACUCUGCUCCAGAGUGGAGGGAUACCUUGUCCCCGUCGUCGCCCAGCUCACCGGCCUCGGCCUCUCGCGUUCUCAGGUCGCGCGCCUCAUCUCCUACUGCCAAGGCAACUUACAUCUCACAUCCAUCGUCUCCAAGCUGCAGUACUACCUGCCCCUCUUCGGUUCCAUCGACAACACCCUUCGAGUUCUCAAGCGCGGCUUUUACCUUAUCUCGUCUGAUCUUGAGAGGGUGGUCAAGCCCAAUGUCGCAACCCUGCGGGACUCGGGGCUGGGUGAUUGCGACAUUGCCAAGCUGUGCAUCCGUAAUCCAUGGCUGCUCACAACCAAUGUAGAAUCCAUCCGGGCAAUGGUGUCAUGCGCUGAAAGUCUUGGUGUGCCCCGUGGAUCUCGGAUGUUCAGGCAUGCCGUGUCUGCUGUUGCGUACCUCAGCGAGGAGAAGAUCGCCGCUAAAGCGGGGUACUUGAAGAAGACCUUUAGGUGGUCAGAUGCCGAGGUCAGCAUUGCUGUGUCCAAGCAUCCAAUCUUGCUGACAAGGUCUAAGGACUUUCUGCGGAGCAGAUCAGAGUUCCUCAUCUCUGAGGUGGGGCUGGAACCGGCAUACAUUGCUCAUCGUCCGGUAUUGCUCUCUUACAGCCUGGAGGGUCGUCUCAGGCCCCGGUACUAUGUUGUAAAGUUUCUCAAGGAAAAUGAAUUGCUAGAUUGCGACCGGGACUACUAUUCUGCAGUAAUGCGGACCGAGAAGGUAUUCAUGGAGAAGUACAUAUGCCCUCACAUGGAAGCUGCACCGCACCUCGCUGAAGACUAUGCGGAAGCUUGCAGAGGUGAAGUGCCGACUAGAUUCAGAUUUCCAUGA
rnacentral:rRNA from 1 species